GGCCCCGGCCACAGAGGUGCGCAUUGGGCACCUUCUGCCCUGCCCACCCCAGGCCAGGCGAGUGUGCUGGCUGGACACAGGCUUCAGGGGCUGUGUGUCUGUGGCCAUCGUUCCUCCGGCAGCAGAAACCCAGGAGAGAGAACGGCUGGAGCAGCUGAGGCAGGAGAUCCACCCCAGUCCUGCCUUCUACACUUUCUUCCCUCUGGAUGAGUUCUCCCCUGGGAAGCUCAAUGGUCCUCCCUAGAAAUGGACCCCAGCAGACCCCCAGCAUCGGGAAUCCCGGGACCCACACGUGCUGCUGACAACGGGGAGCACCCGAGACGGGAAGGUGCAGCCCGCGAAUUCAGGGGAAAGGAAGAGCCUUGAUAAUAACUUAAAUUGGGUUUCCUGCCAAGCUGGCAGAUAGGAACUUGAAGUCAAUUUGAAGAAAUGAGAGAAACGUGACCUUUCUUGCACACUCGAGUUCAUGAACCACGGUCUCAUGUGCUACACUCUCUCACUCCACGUCAGGUGCGAUUUCCUCUUAAAAUUGUUUGUUUUCCCCUGUAUGGAGCAGAGAGCAUCUGAGUGGGCUCUGACAUCCACUAACAUCACCACUUUCCCCAAGCAGUGGGUCUGCUCCUUUCUUAUUCAUCUUUCUUCUUCUUCCAAACAAAACUAAAAAAAACCGUGGCAGACAGGUGGUCCCC
rnacentral:lncRNA from 1 species